UAAGCAGUGCGAAUUGCAGAACCGUGAGUCAUCAGAUUUUUGAACGCAACUGGCGCCAGUUGGUAAUCCAGCUGGCAUGCUUGUUUCAGUGUCUUGUUUUCUCCUCACCCAAAUCUUAAUGUGAGAGAUACCCUUCUCUUACUAAGUAUGAAAGCAUUCUGUACUUGCAGGCAUCCUUGAUUCGUCAAGGGUUGCACUCAAUGCAGCAGUCACAAUUUACUUUGUGAACUCAUUGAGAGUAGAGACAGUGCAGCUAGUCUGCGAAUGCUUAGAUCUCCAAACUUUACUUGCAUCUGAAAUCAAGCAGGAUCACCCGCUGAACUUAA
rnacentral:rRNA from 1 species